AAGCCAGUUCAGUGUAUCCGCUCAACUUGAAAAUGUUUUGCGGAGUUUAUUUCACAAUAACACUGGCAAAGCCAAGCCACAAUACGAGCCUUGAAGACUUUGUAGUCUCUGAGGUCCCUGACAAAUGGCUACAUCU
rnacentral:snoRNA from 1 species